rnacentral:rRNA from 1 species
AGGUUUUGGGAUACUUGGAAUUAAGUGUCCUUAGAUUUGAAUAUUAUUAUGUUGGGUGACCUUCUGGAAAGUCUAAAUCCAGAAGCUU